rnacentral:tRNA from 1 species
CCCGUUGUAGCUCAAUGGUAGAGCGGCCGGCUGUAGCUUGCAACACUUCCAAUAAGGGUGUGAAGUGGAUACCGGCAGGUUGGGUGUUCAAAUCACCCCAACGGGA